rnacentral:misc_RNA from 1 species
CAACUCUCCACAUGGCUGUUUCUUCUGAAACACAAUGCUUACAUUAAAAAACAGAAUAAUCAUAUCACUAGAAAAGUAAUCUUGAGUACAAAUACAUCGAGUUCGAUGCUAAUCAAGUCAUUUCCUCCCUACAUAACACCCCAUUGGAGGUAGUUUCCUAUGAAUCAAAACCCAAUUACAACCAAGCGUGUUUAUUUUACAGUUUUUCUCCAGCCACCCAGCAGAUAUACAAGAAAAUCUAAAAGACGACACCUGCAAUGAAGCCCUCAUAAUUGGUAUGCUAGCUCUCCUUCAGAAUCCAAAGUUCUUCUCAAAGGGUUGUUCCUGUACCAGACAUGCACAUACUCAUGCCAAAAUAAAAAUAUGACGAUGAAAGGCACUGAAUACCACAAGCAUGGCAGGGAUAGCUUUUCUAUUUAGUGCCUCCAGUUGGCAUGUUUUACCAUGCCUUGCACUCGAAUGGAGAGAUCUCUCUCACUGCCGAAUGGGAACUAUGCCAAUGGAAAAUCAUUAGAGGUUCAACCAUAUCCACAAUGUUACUGCUGAUUCAAGCCAGAUAUUUCCUGAGCAACAGGAUUUGAUGUUUCCUGAACUGCCCGUGUCUUGACCUGAUAAACCUACCGCAUCUGCUUCUCACUUGCACCCUUUUCUUGUCUAAAGUUAGUCUCAGCAUCUCCUGCUGGCCUAAAAAUCCACUUGGUAGGAGGUGAUGGAAGUGGACCUAUGUUCUGCUCAACCUGGUGGUGCAUAUUUGAAUUACUCCCUGUAUUUGGCACGCGCUGCAAUAUUACUACAGGCGGUCUGCUUCUGACAUUUUCUUCUACAGUCAAAGCAGAUAUCCCACUCUUUAUAUCAUGGUACUGUUCAGGGUAUUGUACUCUGUCCUGAGUCUUAAAGUUGUGCCGAUUGCCUGGCAUGCCAUUUGAUAUUGGAGAAAAUCUAGGAUUGCUCAUUAGGCCUUGUUGGUUACCGUAAUGCCCAUAAUAAUAGUUUGGGUCAUAAUUGUAGCUCCUUUCAUUUCCAGAGGGUCCAGCUGGUCUAGGUCUGUUGAACAUAGGAUUCCCUGGGAUAUUGCGAUAUGGCGGUUGCUCAAAAUAUCUCGAAGAUGACCCAUUUGGUCUGAUAUUAAGCGUGUUCUUGACAAGCCGGUGAGCUGCUUCACCCAACAGAGGGCCAGCUAUUCCUCUAGGUACUUGUGGCCUUUCUCUGCCUUGCUGGCGUCGACCAUUAUCUUCAUGCCAUAAUGUGGGGAAUGGUUUAAUAUCUAUAGGUUUUAAGAUCUUUUCAGGCAUGACCACACCAGUGGGAGGUUCAGGUACGUGUCUAUGAUUUAUAGGAUUAAGAUAUGUAAUAUUUAAAACUUGGUUGGGCUCUAUGUCUGGCAACCCACUGACAGGUGAAGGGACCAUACUUCUCCAGACAUUCCUCUCAGUUAACCAAAGAUAGCCAUUCAUGCCAGCACUGGCAUUUGUGUCAAUUUCCCAACAACACCUUUGCAAUGGAAGUAACAAACGGGUAACUUCAUGGUAUGAGAAGAUUUCUGCUGCCAAAGGAUGAGCAGGAUGAACAUACAGCAAAUCUAGCAUUUUACUAUUACGGAACCGUUCUUUGUCCGUUAAAGUGCUUUCAAGUUUCUUUGUUUGGGCAAGCAAUUUCCUCUCAUCAAUGAAUGGCAAUUUGGCAAUACCCUGGCUUCCAACAAUGAAAUGCAAGACAACAUUUGUUAGUUGGCAACAAAUAACAAUAAUUUUCAUAGCAAGGCCAAGAGAAGGUACAGGAGAAUUAACCUGCCAGGCAAAGCGUUUACCAUUCAUGUCAAUCUCAAAAUCUGCUCACAAAAAGAGACCCAACUAAUCUUGCAAAAGUAAUGAAGAUAUCCAAAAGUUAAAUAGAUAAUAUCCGUACAUCAAUUUUACCUGAGGGAAAGAAGUUAUGUAUUGGUGAUGAUGGGUCAGUCAUCAAUUUCCUGUAUUCUUCAGGCAACGCAUUAGAACUUGCAGCAGGUAGGGUUCCCAUUAGCUGAUCAAAGGGUUUAAAUGGCUCUCCCAAAAAGAAAGUUAUUUCUAAGUCAGCAAGAUCCUUGAGAUCAGAGGCAAAUGGAGCAUAAUGGUAUGGAUAAAACCAUUGCCAAGAGCAAACACCUUGGUAGUAAUAUCGGCAGACCCAACACAAACCUUCCACAUACUUCAAAACUACAUCUUCUCUAAAUUUGUCGAUUUCAUCUGGAUUUGAUAUACCAAAUUUCUCAGAGUAAUAUCUUUCUUUGUAACCAGGCUCCCCCAAUUUAACCUUAUCUACAGCCAGUGCCUGCGACUCUUCAGAGUACUCUUUUCUUGCUUUGAGUCUCAUCUCUUCAUUAUUCUCCAAAGCCUGCUGUAUACGAGUCCUUUUCUGAAAGAUCUGCUCUUCAUAAACAGCAACUGACUGGAUAAAAUGUUCUACUCUGUCAAGAUUUACCUCACCCGCAUCAGUAAGAUAACCGUUCAUCACAGCAAACUCCUUUCUGUACACAUGCAUCAAUAAAUUUAUAGCACCCUCCCUAAUUUCCAAUGUUGGCAUAUGUGGAAGAAAGUCAUUGCCAACAAAGAAACAUAGAAAUACAAAAUCAUCCACUAUACGUUCAAAGUUGAUCUCAAAUGGAGGGUUUGGAAUAUCCAAUUCAUACUGCAAAUAUUCUCGCAACACCCAGAUGUUGAGGAACUGAUAUUUCUUCUUGUGAAUUGGAGUAUCAUCUACCACAACCCAAUCUAAAGCAUCAUCUCCUGGCUUCCCACGACACUCAGCUGCAAGAUGGCCGGCCUGACCACAAAUAAAACACUUUUCCUGUUGCCCAGGAAGUGUGACUAGCUCUCUCAAUAUUGAAAAGUGAAUUUCAUGUGUCGCUAAAGACAGCAUAAUCAAGUCUGCAUCCAGACCAUAUAGACAAUGCCGUGUGUUUGGAUUGAAACCAGGAAGGUUUCUUUGUAAUCUUAUGUAUGACAUGAUUUUGUGCUCUCCCUCACCAGAGACAUUUGCAUCAGAAAGAAUAACCUUCAAAUAAUCACCCAAUGCAGCGCCAUAAAUAAAUUUAGUUACACAAAGUAUCCUUUGUAUACCGCCAGCCUGGAUUCUGAUUCAACCUCAUCUGUAUAUAAUAUUGAAGUGCAAUCGAAAGCACAGCCAUAAAUUGGGUCCCAGGAGUGAUGACAUUAGAGUCGGAUGUUUCAGGCUUUUCUUUUGGAAACAAAAGCUUCCCCUCAGCCUCAAAUUCUUUUCUCAAUCUUUCUUCCUCGGCUUCAGCUUCAGCAGCAUCUUUUGCAGCUCUAAAGCGCCGAGACCGUUGCUGAUUCAUUUUAGCUCUAGGUGCAACCCCAUCAAUUGCCAUAUAUAGAAGCUUCCUCGGUCGAACCAAUAAGAAAAGAUGGUCAAUGUAAUCAAAUAUCGAUUUGAAAACAUCAUCAUAAGUAGGAGGUGCAGGCUGUAAGAAUAAAGAGUAAUAUACUAUCAUCUUUGCUUCCGGUGAAAUAAUAAUGUGGAAAGAUGGAUUGACUACAGAUUACAGAUUAAAUAUUUCAGCUAUUUAACCACCAAUAAGAGCACAAAAAUACUUCUAGUAAAUGCACUAGAUCAUGAUACCAUGUUAAUGCCAAAUCUAAGUUCAUUUAAGGCCAUAAUUAUAACAAAAGUGCAUGUUUUCUUCACAAUCAAAUUAUAAAUUACUCUUCAAAAAUCAGCUUUUUUACAUAUAGUUCCCCAUAUUGACAACCACAGGAGAAGAUGCUUCAACAAAGGUACAUCAUUUCAUACAAACUCGAACUCAUUAACAUUGCAGUUAGAAUGCAAAAGCAAAAACAUUUGAAUUUCAAAUUCCCUUUUACUGCUGGGAGGUCAACAACACGCCAUCAUUAAUUUCUAAUUAAGGGAUGAUCACAUGAGUUGAGCCAAAGGCAAUUUUACUAUGAAUUUGAGUUGACAACACCACAAGCCAUAAUCAAUUUCUCAUAUCUAUGCCAUUCCAAUGAUCCCUAAAGUACAGCCAGUUGAAUUAUUAUAACUAAAAAGUUUUGCAGGUCACAAUGUACCAACUCAAUAACCUAAAUCAGUUAAAAACUUAAUCACUGUUACCCUCUUCUAAAACACAUCAAUUCAUUAAACCCUCUCUAAAGUGUAAUCAAGCCAAGUCAAGUCACUACAAUGUAUUACUCAAAAUAUACUUGAUUCCGUUUAAAAAUUUAAUUACUAAUCUCAAAUUAAAGUUUUUAUCCCACGGGAGUUCAAGCUCAAAUUCAUAAAUUAUUAUCAAAAUACCAUAAUAUAAAUAUAUUUUAAAUUAUAUAUAAAAAAAAAAACCAAACAGAUU